rnacentral:rRNA from 1 species
UACGGAGGGUGCGAGCGUUGUCCGGAAUCACUGGGCGUAAGGGCGCGUAGGCGGCCUGAUAAGUAGGGGUGAAAUCCUGCGGCUUAACCGCAGGGCUGCCUUCUAAACUGUCAGGCUAGAGCACAGUAGAGGCAGGUGGAAUUCCCGGUGUAGCGGUGGAAUGCGUAGAGAUCGGGAAGAACAUCAGUGGCGAAGGCGGCCUGCUGGGCUGUUGCUGACGCUGAGGCGCGACAGCGGUGGGGAGCAAACAGG